GUGAGAGCAUAAGAGCCCCUUUGGCCGAACCAUAGGAGAAAAAGGAAAAAAAUUUAUUAAGUUUUUCAACUUUGAUCCAAAAAUCUCUUCCUUCUUGAAUUCUUGUUAAGUUCGAGGCCCUCUUCAACGUGGUAUAAUUGGGUAAGCGAGAAAACUACGUUUGUGGCAAGUGGAAAUUUGAAGAAAAAGAUUUUGGAGAAAACAGGAGUUGAGUUGGAGUGAGCGUAAGAAGCGGAUAAGGUACAGACGUUCGUGAUCCGUUAGCGUAGGCUACACACCUUCUGCUACUACAGAGUGCUCAUUUGACUCGAAGCCCGU